UUAACGCUAGCGGCAGGCCUAAUACAUGCAAGUCGUGGGGCAGCAGGGUGUAGCAAUACAUUGCUGGCGACCGGCGCACGGGUGCGUAACACGUAUGCAAUCUACCUCUAACUGGGGAAUAGCCCUCCGAAAGGAGGAUUAAUACCGCAUAAUAUCACGAGACGGCAUCGCCUUGUGAUCAAAGCUUCGGCGGUUAGAGAUGAGCAUGCGUCCGAUUAGCUAGUUGGCGGGGUGACGGCCCACCAAGGCGACGAUCGGUAGGGGGUCUGAGAGGAUGAUCAGCCACACUGGGACUGAGACACGGCCCAGACUCCUACGGGAGGCAGCAGUGGGGAAUCUUGGACAAUGGGCGCAAGCCUGAUCCAGCCAUGCCGCGUGAGUGGAGAAGGUCUUCGGAUUGUAAAGCUCUUUUGCCAGGGACGAUAAUGACGGUACCUGGAGAAUAAGCCCCGGCAAACUUCGUGCCAG
rnacentral:rRNA from 1 species